rnacentral:rRNA from 1 species
CUCUUAUAGAAUAUACUUAUUAUAAGUAAAAUCUGCUCAAUGAUAAUAUUUAAAUAGCCGCAGAAUAUUAACUGUGCUAAGGUAGCAUAAUCAUUUGUCUACUAAUUAUAGACUAGAAUGAAAGAUUAAACAUAUUAAAUAUUUUUUCAUAAAUAAAACAUUUAAAUUUUUUUAAAUAUUAAAAAAUAUUUAUUUUUAAAAAAGACGAUAAGACCCUAUUAAACUUAACUGAAGUUAAACUGGGGUAGUUAUAUAAAAAUAAUUUUAUAAUUUUAAAUAAUAAAUAUGACCUAAUAUAAUUAAAUAUAUAAACAAGUUACUAUAGGGAUAACAGCGUAAUAUUUUUCUAAAGUUCUUAUUAAAAAAAAUGUUUACGACCUCGAUGUUGAAUUAUUAUCCUAAUUUAAGAAAAAUUAAAUUUACUUUUAUUAAAGGAAGUCUGUUCGACUUUUAAAUUUUUACAU